rnacentral:rRNA from 1 species
CCAAGGAGUCUAGCGUGUGCGCGAGUCAUUGGGAUAACACUAAACCUAAAGGCGCAAUGAAAGUAAAGGUUCGUCUAGCGCGAACCGAGGGAAGACGGUCGAUCCAUUGCGGACCGGCCCGCAUUCCCGGGGCGUCUCGUUCUCAUUGCGAGAAGAGGCGCACCAAGAGCGUACACGCUGGGACCCGAAAGAUGGUGAACUAUGCCUGGUCAGGACGAAGUCAGGGGAAACCCUGAUGGAGGUCCGUAGCGAUUCUGACGUGCAAAUCGAUCGUCGGAACUGGGUAUAGGGGCGAAAGACUAAUCGAACCAUC